CACGUAGGGGACGAGCGUUGUCCGGAUUCAUUGGGCGUAAAGCGCGCGUAGGCGGCUCGGAAAGUCGGUCGUGAAAUGCCGGGGCUCAACCCCGGGACUGCGUCCGAUACUUCCGGGCUGGAGGUAGGUAGGGGAGAUCGGAAUUCCUGGUGUAGCGGUGAAAUGCGCAGAUAUCAGGAGGAACACCGGUGGCGAAGGCGGAUCUCUGGGCCUUACCUGACGCUGAGGCGCGAAAGCGUGGGGAGCGAACAGG
rnacentral:rRNA from 1 species